GCCAGCAGCCAUAUCACCCUGCAACUCACAACUGGCAACCCACUGAAGCUAAGCAGGUAUGAGCCUGGUCAGUACCUGAGUGGGAGUCCUCCUGGGAAAAAUUAAGGUUGCUGCUGGAA
ensembl:rRNA 5S_rRNA 5S ribosomal RNA